CCCUUAGAUGUUCUGGGCCGCACGCGCGCUACACUGAUACGUUCAGCGAGUAUAUAACCUUGAUUGGAAAAUCUGGGUAGUCUUUUGAAUGCGUAUCGUGCUAGGGAUAGAUUAUUGCAAUUAUUAAUCUUGAACGAGGAAUUCCUAGUAAACGCAAGUCAUCAGCUUGCAUUGAUUACGUCCCUGCCCUUUGUACACACCGCCUGUCGCACAAACCGAUUGAAUGAUUCGGUGAAAAUUUUGGACAUCGAGAGUGGUGAUUAAUUUCGCUGCUCUUAAAUGGAAAGAAUUUAAACCUAAUUAUUUAGAGGAUUGUGAAGUCAUAACA
rnacentral:rRNA from 1 species